AGUGAACGCUGGCGGCAGGCCUAACACAUGCAAGUCGAGCGGCAGCGCGUCCGACCACCCUCGGGUGGUCGGAUGGCGGCGAGCGGCGGACGGGUGAGGAAUGCAUCGGAAUCUGCCUCGUUGUGGGGGAUAACGUAGGGAAACUUACGCUAAUACCGCAUACGACCUACGGGUGAAAGUGGGGGACCUUCGGGCCUCACGCGAUGAGAUGAGCCGAUGCCGGAUUAGCUAGUUGGCGGGGUAAUGGCCUACCAAGGCAACGAUCUCUAGCUGGUCUGAGAGGACGAUCAGCCACACUGGGACUGAGACACGGCCCAGACUCCUACGGGAGGCAGCAGUGGGGAAUAUUGGACAAUGGGCGAAAGCCUGAUCCAGCAAUGCCGCGUGUGUGAAGAAGGCCUGAGGGUUGUAAAGCUCUUUCAGCAGGAACGAAACGGUGGUCCCUAAUACGGACUACUAAUGACGGUACCUGAAGAAGAAGCACCGGCUAACUACGUG
rnacentral:rRNA from 1 species